UCAGGUUCCAGCUCUGCAAAUACUUCCUGUCCCUGGUGUAUGUUUUCUCCUUCAAAUCGUGAAUGUGGAAUGAUCUGCAACCACUCCCAGCAGCAGUGACUUCUGGGGCUGUCAUAAAGUGUCAGCAAACAGGACGAAUAUUGGGAUGCGUCAAGAACUAAAUAAAGACCAGGGACUGAAUAAAGCACCUGGACACAGAAAACUAUACAUCGUCUCCUUGGCUUCCUUUUUGAAAAUUGGCGUAUACAGUGUAUUUUUAGCAGGGAUGGGAUGAUUUUGCUUAAUGCUCGACAGCUGCUCAUUAGGCAGAUCAGAAAGAGA
rnacentral:lncRNA from 1 species